UACAGAGGUCCCAAGCGUUGUUCGGAUUUACUGGGCGUAAAGGGCGCGUAGGCGGCUGAAUAAGUGGGAUGUUAAAUCCCCGGGCUCAACCCGGGACCUGCAUCUCAUACUGUUCAGCUCGAGCACAUCAGAGGAGACUGGAAUUCCCGGUGUAGCGGUGAAAUGCGUAGAGAUCGGGAGGAAGGCCGGUGGCGAAGGCGGCGCUCUGGAACGUUUCUGACGCUGAGGCUCGAAAGCGUGGGGAGCAAACAGG
rnacentral:rRNA from 1 species